AUACGGAGGAUCCGAGCGUUAUCCGGAUUUAUUGGGUUUAAAGGGUGCGCAGGCGGUAGAUUAAGUCGGCGGUGAAAUUUUUCAGCUCAACUGAAAAAAUGCCUUCGAAACUGGUUUCCUUGAGUGUAGAUGGAGGAGGCGGAAUUUGUGGUGUAGCCGUGAAAUGCAUAGAUAGUACUAGGAACUCCGAUUGCGGAGGCAGCGUUCUAACCUACUACUGACGCUGAGGCACGAAGGCGUGGGGAUCAAACAGGAUUAGAUACACGGGUAGUCCGCGCAGGAAACGUUGAUUACUAUCUGUUUGCGAUACAAUGUAAGCGGCUGAGCGAAAGCGUUAAGUAAACCACCUGGGGAGUACGUUCGCAAGGAUGAAACUCAAAGGAAUUGACGGGG
rnacentral:rRNA from 1 species